rnacentral:tRNA from 1 species
UGGCCCUAUGGCGCAACGGUAGCGCGUUUGACUCCAGAUCAAAAGGUUAUCCGUUCAAAUCGGGUUGGGGUCAU